UACGGGGGGGGGCAAGCGUUUGUUCGGAAUUACUGGGCGUAAAGGGCUCGUAGGUGGUCAACUAAGUCAUACGUGAAAUCCCUCGGCUUAACCGGGGAACUGCGCCUGAUACUGGUUGACUUGAGUUUGGGAGAGGGACGCGGAAUUCCAGGUGUAGCGGUGAAAUGCGUAGAUAUCUGGAGGAACACCGGUGGCGAAGGCGGCGUCCUGGACCAAUACUGACACUGAGGAGCGAAAGCCAGGGGAGCAAACGGG
rnacentral:rRNA from 1 species